GUCAUUGGUAUACAAUCAACACCAAAGCUACAGGGUCCUUGGAGGGCAACUGGUUCAGCACUUCCUGAAGGGUGGUACACAGGGCCUGCCCCGACUUGUCCCAGACGGUGAUCUCUGCCACUGGUCAUCUUGUGUCUAAGCCCAGGAUUCCUUGAAAGCAGAUCCUGAGACAAAGACUGAUGGUCUCAAGGAUGGACACACAGCCAGUCAAACAAACCUCAACUUCCAACAUGACACGAUCCAGAAAUCAACAUCUGCAGCUGAGAUUCGGGGGUCAUUUGUCACUCGGCAAAGCUGUCUAAUACAGUUACUAGUAAGAGUACUAAAGACAUGGCCAGCUCAACUAUGGUGGGAGUGAUAUAUGCCAUUUCCAAGCUGGUGCCUUGGAGGGAUGGAUGCCUCGUCUACCUACCUGCUCUUCUUCUGCACUGGCUUGGCUGGAACCUGACAGUGGCCCAGAUUUGCCUGGACAGUUGAGGACUCUGCUGUAGGAGGUGAAGGGACCACAAGAUGGAAGGAACCUGGAUCCCUGAAUGACUUUGUGGAGCAAGAGUACCACUGAAUAGAAUGCU